rnacentral:rRNA from 1 species
AGACCGAUAGCGAACAAGUACCGUGAGGGAAAGAUGAAAAGAACUUUGAAAAGAGAGUUAAAAAGUACCUGAACUUGUUGGGGGGAAAGCGUUUGCCUCCAGUGUGCCGCGUAUGACUCAGCCUCCUUGGAGGUGCACUUUGUGCGCGGCGGUCAGGGUGGGUUUGCUUGGGCGUUGACGGUCCCCUUGAGGUCUUCGGGCAACGGGGUGGCUUUUGCGUCCGCGCGGACCGAGGCUCGCUCGCAUCGCGCGUCGGUGGAUCGUGUGUGCGUCUGACAAGCAACUUGUCUUCGUACAGCGUGAAUCCCUAGUGCGUGGUUAGCGUGACCCUGACGAAAUGGUGGCAACCGACCCGUCUAGUAACACGGACCAAGGAGUCUGACGACUGCGCGAGUCUUCGGGUGGCAACCCCGUGGGCGUAAUGAAAGUGACUUGGCCUUCAGGGCCGACCGACCGUGAUCUUUUGUGAAUGGUUUGAGUACGAGCGUAGUUGCCGGGACCCGAAAGAUGGUGAACUAUGCCUGAAUAGGGUGAAGUCAGAGGAAACUCUGAUGGAAGCUUGUAGCGGUUCUGACGUGCAAAUCGAUCGUCAAAUUUGGGUAU